rnacentral:rRNA from 1 species
GAAAUGUUGGGUUAAGUCCCGCAACGAGCGCAACCCUUAUCCUUUGUUGCCAGCGGUUCGGCCGGGAACUCAAAGGAGACUGCCAGUGAUAAACUGGAGGAAGGUGGGGAUGACGUCAAGUCAUCAUGGCCCUUACGACCAGGGCUACACACGUGCUACAAUGGCGCAUACAAAGAGAAGCGACCUCGCGAGAGCAAGCGGACCUCAUAAAGUGCGUCGUAGUCCGGAUUGGAGUCUGCAACUCGACUCCAUGAAGUCGGAAUCGCUAGUAAUCGUGGAUCAGAAUGCCACGGUGAAUACGUUCCCGGGCCUUGUACACACCGCCCGUCACACCAUGGGAGUGGGUUGCAAAAGAAGUAGGUAGCUUAACCUUCGGGAGGGCGCUUACCACUUUGUGAUUCAUGACUGGGGUGAAGUCGUAACAAGGUAACCGUAGGGGAACCUGC